rnacentral:rRNA from 1 species
GAUGAACGCUGGCGGCGUGCCUAAUACAUGCAAGUCGAGCGAACGGACGAGAAGCUUGCUUCUCUGAUGUUAGCGGCGGACGGGUGAGUAACACGUGGAUAACCUACCUAUAAGACUGGGAGAACUUCGGGAGACCGUAGCUAAUACCGGAUAAUAUUUUGAACCGGAGGGAUCAAAAGUGAAAGACGGUUUUGCUGUCACUUAUAGAUGGAUCCGCGCUGCAUUAGCUAGUUGGUAAGGUAACGGCUUACCAAGGCAACGAUGCAUAGCCGACCUGAGAGGGUGAUCGGCCACACUGGAACUGAGACACGGUCCAGACUCCUACGGGAGGCAGCAGUAGGGAAUCUUCCGCAAUGGGCGAAAGCCUGACGGAGCCGCGCCGCGUGAGUGAUGAAGGUCUUCGGAUCGUAAAACUCUGUUAUUAGGGAAGAACAUAUGUGUAAGUAACUGUGCACAUCUUGACGGUACCUAAUCAGAAAGCCCCGGCUAACUACGUG